GACGAACGCUGGCGGCGUGCUUAACACAUGCAAGUCGAACGGAAAGGCCCUGCUUUUGUGGGAUGCUCGAGUGGCGAACGGGUGAGUAACACGUGAGUAACCUGCCCUUGACUUUGGGAUAACUUCAGGAAACUGGGGCUAAUACCGGAUAGGAGCUCCUGCUGCAUGGUGGGGGUUGGAAAGUUUCGGCGGUUGGGGAUGGACUCGCGGCUUAUCAGCUUGUUGGUGGGGUAGUGGCUUACCAAGGCUUUGACGGGUAGCCGGCCUGAGAGGGUGACCGGCCACAUUGGGACUGAGAUACGGCCCAGACUCCUACGGGGGGCAGCAGUGGGGAAUAUUGCACAAUGGGCGGAAGCCUGAUGCAGCACCGCCGCGUGCGGGAUGACGGCCUUCGGGUUGUAAACCGCUUUCGCCUGUGACGAAGCGUGAGUGACGGUAAUGGGUAAAGAAGCACCGGCUAACUACGUG
rnacentral:rRNA from 1 species